AUUGAACGCUGGCGGCAGGCCUAACACAUGCAAGUCGAGCGGAUGAAGGGAGCUUGCUCCUGGAUUCAGCGGCGGACGGGUGAGUAAUGCCUAGGAAUCUGCCUGGUAGUGGGGGAUAACGUCCGGAAACGGGCGCUAAUGCCGCAUACGUCCUGAGGGAGAAAGUGGGGGAUCUUCGGACCUCACGCUAUCAGAUGAGCCUAGGUCGGAUUAGCUAGUUGGUGAGGUAAAGGCCUACCAAGGCGACGAUCCGUAACUGGUCUGAGAGGAUGAUCAGUCACACUGGAACUGAGACACGGUCCAGACUCCUACGGGAGGCAGCAGUGGGGAAUAUUGGACAAUGGGCGAAAGCCUGAUCCAGCCAUGCCGCGUGUGUGAAGAAGGUCUUCGGAUUGUAAAGCACUUUAAGUUGGGAGGAAGGGCAGUAAGUUAAUACCUUGCUGUUUUGACGUUACCAACAGAAUAAGCACCGGCUAACUUCGUG
rnacentral:rRNA from 1 species